rnacentral:rRNA from 1 species
CGGUGUUUAACUGGCGUGAUGUGGGACGUCCUACCGGUGGGCUUAGCCUCGCGAGGGGCGGCCCAACUAAUAUCCCGUCGCGGUGCUCUUUACUGAGUGUCGAGUCGGGCCGGUACGUUUACUUUGAACAAAUUAGAGUGCUUAAAGCAGGCUAUCCUCGCCUGAAUACUGCGUGCAUGGAAUAAUGGAAUAGGACCUCGGUUCUAUUUUGUUGGUUUUCGGAACCCCGAGGUAAUGAUUAAUAGGGACAGAUGGGGGCAUUCGUAUUGCGACGUUAGAGGUGAAAUUCUUGGAUCGUCGCAAGACGGACAGAAGCGGAAGCAUUUGCCAAAAAUGUUUUCAUUAAUCAAGAACGAAAGUUAGAGGUUCGAAGGCGAUCAGAUACCGCCCUAGUUCUAACCAUAAACGAUGCCAGCUAGCGAUCCGCCGAAGUUCCUCCGAUGACUCGGCGGGCAGCUUCCGGGAAACCAAAGCUUUUGGGUUCCGGGGGAAGUAUGGUUGCAAAGCUGAAACUUAAAGGAAUUGACGGAAGGGCACCACCAGGAGUGGAGCCUGCGGCUUAAUUUGACUCAACACGGGAAACCUCACCAGGCCCAGACACCGGAAGGAUUGACAGAUUGAUAGCUCUUUCUUGAUUCGGUGGGUGGUGGUGCAUGGCCGUUCUUAGUUGGUGGAGCGAUUUGUCUGGUUAAUUCCGAUAACGAACGAGACUCUAGCCUGCUAAAUAGGCGUACCUUAUGGUAUCGCGAAGGCCCCCGGCUUCGGCCGGUGGGUUUUUACUACCAACGUACAAACAAAUCUUCUUAGAGGGACAGGCGG